UACAGAGGGUGCGAGCGUUGUCCGGAAUCACUGGGCGUAAAGGGCGCGUAGGUGGCCUGAUAAGUAGGGGGUGAAAUCUCGAGGCUCAACUUCGAGGCUGCCUCCUAAACUGUCAGGCUUGAGCAGAGUAGAGGCAGGUGGAAUUCCCGGUGUAGCGGUGGAAUGCGUAGAGAUCGGGAAGAACAUCGGUGGCGAAGGCGGCCUGCUGGGCUCUUGCUGACACUGAGGCGCGACAGCGUGGGGAGCAACAGG
rnacentral:rRNA from 1 species